rnacentral:rRNA from 1 species
GAUGAACGCUGGCGGCGUGCCUAAUACAUGCAAGUCGAGCGAACGGACGAGAAGCUUGCUUCUCUGAUGUUAGCGGCGGACGGGUGAGUAACACGUGGAUAACCUACCUAUAAGACUGGGGUAACUUCGGGAAACCGGAGCUAAUACCGGAUAAUAUUUUGAACCGCAUGGUUCAAAAGUGAAAGACGGUCUUGCUGUCACUUAUAGAUGGAUCCGCGCUGCAUUAGCUAGUUGGUAAGGUAACGGCUUACCAAGGCAACGAUGCAUAGCCGACCUGAGAGGGUGAUCGGCCACACUGGAACUUAGACACGGUCCAGACUCCUACGGGAGGCAGCAGUAGGGAAUCUUCCGCAAUGGGCGAAAGCCUGACGGAGCAACGCCGCGUGAGUGAUGAAGGUCUUCGGAUCGUAAAACUCUGUUAUUAGGGAAGAACAUAUGUGUAAGUAACUGUGCACAUCUUGACGGUACCUAAUCAGAAAGCCACGGCUAACUACGUG